UCCAGACUCCUACGGGAGGCAGCAGUGGGGAAUAUUGCACAAUGGGGGGAACCCUGAUGCAGCGACGCCGCGUGGGUGAAGGAGCACCUCGGUGCGUAAAGCCCUAUCGGCAGGGAAGAAACAGACGGUACCUGACUAAGAAGCCCCGGCUAACUACGUGCCAGCAGCCGCGGUAAUACGUAGGGGGCAAGCGUUAUCCGGAUUUACUGGGUGUAAAGGGAGCGUAGACGGAAAGGCAAGUCAGAAGUGAAAGCCCAAGGCUCAACCAUGGGACUGCUUUUGAAACUGUCAAACUAGAGUACGGGAGAGGUAAGAGGAAUUCCUAGUGUAGCGGUGAAAUGCGUAGAUAUUAGGAGGAACACCAGUGGCGAAGGCGGCCUGCUGGACCGCGACUGACGUUGAGGCUCGAAAGCGUGGGGAGCGAACAGGAUUAGAUACCCCUGUAU
rnacentral:rRNA from 1 species